UGGGGAAUAUUGCACAAUGGAGGAAACUCUGAUGCAGCGACGCCGCGUGAGUGAAGAAGUAUUUCGGUAUGUAAAGCUCUAUCAGCAGGGAAGAAGACGACGGUACCUGACUAAGAAGCCCCGGCUAACUACGUGCCAGCAGCCGCGGUAAUACGUAGGGGGCAAGCGUUAUCCGGAUUUACUGGGUGUAAAGGGAGCGUAGACGGUUCGGCAAGUCUGAAGUGAAAGGCGGGGGCUCAACCCCCGGGACUGCUUUGGAAACUAUGCAGCUAGAGUGUCGGAGAGGUAAGUGGAAUUCCCAGUGUAGCGGUGAAAUGCGUAGAUAUUGGGAGGAACACCAGUGGCGAAGGCGGCUUACUGGACGAUGACUGACGUUGAGGCUCGAAAGCGUGGGGAGCAAACAGGAUUAGAUACCCUGGUAGU
rnacentral:rRNA from 1 species